UACGUAGGGGGCAAGCGUUGUCCGGAAUCAUUGGGCGUAAAGAGCGUGUAGGCGGCUUGGUAAGUCCGCUGUGAAAGUCCAGGGCUCAACCCUGGAAAGCUGGUGGAAACUGUCAAGCUUGAGUCCGGAAGAGGCGAGUGGAAUUCCUGGUGUAGCGGUGAAAUGCGCAGAUAUCAGGAGGAACACCGGUGGCGAAGGCGGGUCUCUGGGCCGAUACUGACGCUGAGGAGCGAAAGCGUGGGGAGCGAACAGG
rnacentral:rRNA from 1 species